rnacentral:rRNA from 1 species
UACGUAGGGCGCAAGCGUUGUCCGGAAUUAUUGGGCGUAAAGAGCUCGUAGGCGGUUUGUCGCGUCUGCUGUGAAAACCUAAGGCUCAACCUUGGGCUUGCAGUGGGUACGGGCAGACUAGAGUGCGGUAGGGGUGACUGGAAUUCCUGGUGUAGCGGUGGAAUGCGCAGAUAUCAGGAGGAACACCGAUGGCGAAGGCAGGUCACUGGGCCGCAACUGACGCUGAGGUGCGAAAGCGUGGGGAGCAAACAGG